rnacentral:rRNA from 1 species
GACGGAAAGACCCCGUGAACCUUUACUAUAGCUUGACACUGAACAUUGAGCCUUGAUGUGUAGGAUAGGUGGGAGGCUUUGAAGUGUGGACGCCAGUCUGCAUGGAGCCGACCUUGAAAUACCACCCUUUAAUGUUUGAUGUUCUAACGUGGACCCGUAAUCCGGGUUGCGGACAGUGUCUGGUGGGUAGUUUGACUGGGGCGGUCUCCUCCUAAAGAGUAA